AUUAGAGUUUGAUCCUGGCUCAGAACGAACGCUGGCGGCAGGCUUAACACAUGCAAGUCGAACGCCCCGCAAGGGGAGUGGCAGACGGGUGAGUAACGCGUGGGAACAUACCCUUUCCUGCGGAAUAGCUCCGGGAAACUGGAAUUAAUACCGCAUACGCCCUACGGGGGAAAGAUUUAUCGGGGAAGGAUUGGCCCGCGUUGGAUUAGCUAGUUGGUGGGGUAAAGGCCUACCAAGGCGACGAUCCAUAGCUGGUCUGAGAGGAUGAUCAGCCACAUUGGGACUGAGACACGGCCCAAACUCCUACGGGAGGCAGCAGUGGGGAAUAUUGGACAAUGGGCGCAAGCCUGAUCCAGCCAUGCCGCGUGAGUGAUGAAGGCCUUAGGGUUGUAAAGCUCUUUCACCGGAGAAGAUAAUGACGGUAUCCGGAGAAGAAGCCCCGGCUAACUUCGUGCCAGCAGCCGCGGUAAUACGAAGGGGGCUAGCGUUGUUCGGAAUUACUGGGCGUAAAGCGCACGUAGGCGGAUAUUUAAGUCAGGGGUGAAAUCCCAGAGCUCAACUCUGGAACUGCCUUUGAUACUGGGUAUCUUGAGUAUGGAAGAGGUAAGUGGAAUUCCGAGUGUAGAGGUGAAAUUUGUAGAUAUUCGGAGGAACACCAGUGGCGAAGGCGGCUUACUGGUCCAUUACUGA
rnacentral:rRNA from 1 species